CAGCCGCCGCGGGAAAACGUAGGUGGCAAGCGUUGUCCGGAAUUAUUGGGCGUAAAGCGCGCGCAGGCGGAUAGGUCAGUCUGUCUUAAAAGUUCGGGGCUUAACCCCGUGAUGGGAUGGAAACUGCCAAUCUAGAGUAUCGGAGAGGAAAGUGGAAUUCCUAGUGUAGCGGUGAAAUGCGUAGAUAUUAGGAAGAACACCAGUGGCGAAGGCGACUUUCUGGACGAAAACUGACGCUGAGGCGCGAAAGCCAGGGGAGCGAACGGGAUUAGAUACCCCGGUAGUCCCUGUCUCUUAUACA
rnacentral:rRNA from 1 species